rnacentral:sRNA from 1 species
AUUCUGCCCCAUGGGGAAAGGAUGAGAAGCUUCGACUAAGGUUCGACUCGAGCGAAGCGAGAGAACGUUGCCGCAGGCAACGGCCCGAAGGGCGAGGCGCUUUAGCGCCGAGUAAUCCUUCCCCCACCACCA